rnacentral:rRNA from 1 species
CCUACGGGAGGCAGCAGUGGGGAAUAUUGCUCAAUGGGGGAAACCCUGAAGCAGCAACGCCGCGUGAAGGAUGAAGGCUUUCGGGUUGUAAACUCCUUUUGUUAGGGAAGAAAAUGACGGUAUCUGACGAAUAAGCCCCGGCUAACCCCGUGCCAGCAGCCGCGGUAAUACGGAGGGGGCAAGCGUUACCCGGAAUUACUGGGUGUAAAGAGCGCGUAGGCGGGAGAGCAAGUCGGAUGUGAAAUCCUAUGGCCUAAGCAUAGAACUGCAAUUGAAACUGUUAUGCUGGAGUACAGGAGAGGUAGGUGGAAUUCGUGGUGUAGGGGUGAAAUGCGUAGAGAUCAAGAGGAACACUCAUGGCGAAGGCGACCUGCUAGAACGUAACUGACGCUGAGGCUCGAAAGCGUGGGGAGCAAACAGGAUUAGAUACCCGUGUAGUC